UACGAAGGGGGCUAGCGUUGCUCGGAAUUACUGGGCGUAAAGGGAGCAUAGGCGGAUAGUUAAGUCAGAGGUGAAAGCCCAGGGCUCAACCUUGGAAUUGCCUUUGAUACUGGCUAUCUUGAGUAUGGGAGAGGUUAGCGGAACUCCGAGUGUAGAGGUGAAAUUCGUAGAUAUUCGGAAGAACACCAGUGGCGAAGGCGGCUAACUGGCCCAUUACUGACGCUGAGGCUCGAAAGCGUGGGGAGCAAACAGG
rnacentral:rRNA from 1 species